GAUGAACGCUAGCGGGAGGCUUAACACAUGCAAGUCGAGGGGCAGCAUAGGGUAGCAAUACUCUGAUGGCGACCGGCAAACGGGUGAGUAACGCGUAUGCAACCUACCCUGUACAGGGGGAUAACCCGGAGAAAUUCGGACUAAUAUCCCGUAAUAAUAUCCGGAGGCAUCUUUGGAUAUUUAAAGUUCCGACGGUACGGGAUGGGCAUGCGUAACAUUAACUGGUUGGUAAGGUAACGGCUUACCAAGGCUAUGAUGUUUAGGGGUCCUGAGAGGGUGGUCCCCCACACUGGUACUGAGACACGGACCAGACUCCUACGGGAGGCAGCAGUGAGGAAUAUUGGUCAAUGGGCGCAAGCCUGAACCAGCCAUCCCGCGUGCAGGAAGACGGCCCUAUGGGUUGUAAACUGCUUUUCCAGGGAGAGAAACUUACGCACGUGUUGCGUGACUGACGGUACCCUGGGAAUAAGCAAUCGGCUAACUCCGUGCCAGCAGCCGACGGUAAAAGUCACGUCG
rnacentral:rRNA from 1 species